ACAGAGUUCAGUACUUUAAAGUCUCUACAAGAUCCUUCAGCUGCUGAACAUCUGAAUCCUUCAGCUUGUUGUUUCCAUCCAGGUUCAGUUCUGUCAGAUGGAG